GGAGGGUAUAGCUCAGUGGUACAGUACAUGCUUACCAAGCAUGAGAUCCUGGGUUCAAUCCCCAGUGCCUCCA
rnacentral:tRNA from 1 species